rnacentral:rRNA from 1 species
GACGAACGCUGGCGGCGUGCUUAACACAUGCAAGUCGAACGGCAAGGCCCUGCUUUUGUGGGGUGCUCGAGUGGCGAACGGGUGAGUAACACGUGAGUAACCUGCCCUUGACUUUGGGAUAACUUCAGGAAACUGGGGCUAAUACCGGAUAGGAGCUCCUGCUGCAUGGUGGGGGUUGGAACGUUUCGGCGGUUGGGGAUGGACUCGCGGCUUAUCAGCUUGUUGGUGGGGUAGUGGCUUACCAAGGCUUUGACGGGUAGCCGGCCUGAGAGGGUGACCGGCCACAUUGGGACUGAGAUACGGCCCAGACUCCUACGGGAGGCAGCAGUGGGGAAUAUUGCACAAUGGGCGGAAGCCUGAUGCAGCAACGCCGCGUGCGGGAUGACGGCCUUCGGGUUGUAAACCGCUUUCGCCUGUGACGAAGCGUGAGUGACGGUAAUGGGUAAAGAAGCACCGGCUAACUACGUG